AUUGAACGCUGGCGGCAGGCCUAACACAUGCAAGUCGAGCGGAUGAAGGGAGCUUGCUCCUGGAUUCAGCGGCGGACGGGUAAGUAACGCCUAGGAAUCUGCCUGGUAGUGGGGGAUAACGUCCGGAAACGGGCGCUAAUACCGCAUACGUCCUGAGGGAGAAAGUGGGGGAUCUUCGGACCUCACGCUAUCAGAUGAGCCUAGGUCGGAUUAGCUAGUUGGUGGGGUAAAGGCCUACCAAGGCGACGAUCCGUAACUGGUCUGAGAGGAUGAUCAGUCACACUGGAACUGAGACACGGUCCAGACUCCUACGGGAGGCAGCAGUGGGGAAUAUUGGACAAUGGGCGAAAGCCUGAUCCAGCCAUGCCGCGUGUGUGAAGAAGGUCUUCGGAUUGUAAAGCACUUUAAGUUGGGAGGAAGGGCAGUAAGUUAAUACCUUGCUGUUUUGACGUUACCAACAGAAUAAGCACCGGCUAACUUCGUG
rnacentral:rRNA from 1 species